rnacentral:rRNA from 1 species
UACAGAGCCUGCAAGCGUUAUUCGGAUUCACUGGGCGUAAAGGGUGCGCAGGCGGCCCAGUGUGUGAGGCGUGAAAGCCCGGGGCUUAACCCCGGAAUUGCACCUCAAACUACUUGGCUAGAGCAUUGGAGAGGGUAGCAGAAUUCACGGUGUAGCAGUGAAAUGCGUAGAUAUCGUGAGGAAUACCAGAGGCGAAGGCGGCUACCUGGACAAUUGCUGACGCUCAGGCACGAAAGCGUGGGGAGCAAAAGGG